CGGGGGGGGCAAGCGUUGUUCGGAAUUACUGGGCGUAAAGGGCUCGUAGGCGGCCAACUAAGUCCGACGUGAAAUCCCCAGGCUCAACCUGGGAACUGCGUCGGAUACUGGAUGGCUUGAAUUCGGGAGAGGGAUGCAGAAUUCCAGGUGUAGCGGUGAAAUGCGUAGAUAUCUGGAGGAAUACCGGUGGCGAAGGCGGCAUCCUGGACCGACAUUGACGCUGAUGAGCGAAAGCUAGGGGAGCAAACGGGAUUAGAUACCCCGGUAGUCCUAGCCCUAAACGAUGAAUGCUUGGUAUGACGGGUAUCGAUCCCUGUCGUGCCGAAGCUAACGCAUUAAGCAUUCCGCCUGGGGAGUACGGUCGCAAGGCUGA
rnacentral:rRNA from 1 species